CCUACGGGAGGCAGCAGUGGGGGAUAUUGCACAAUGGGGGAAACCCUGAUGCCGCGACGCCGCGUGGGUGAAGAAGUAUUUCGGUAUGUAAAGCCCUAUCAGCAGGGAAGAAAGAAGACGGUACCUGACUAAGAAGCCCCGGCUAACUACGUGCCAGCAGCCGCGGUAAUACGUAGGGGGCGAGCGUUAUCCGGAUUCACUGGGUGUAAAGGGAGCGUAGACGGCCGUGCAAGCCAGGAGUGAAAGCCCGGGGCCCAACCCCGGGACUGCUCGUGGAACUGUGCGGCUGGAGUGCGGGAGGGGCAGGCGGAAUUCCUGGUGUAGCGGUGAAAUGCGUAGAUAUCAGGAGGAACACCGGCGGCGAAGGCGGCCUGCUGGACCGCGACUGACGUUGAGGCUCGAAAGCGUGGGGAGCGAACAGGAUUAGAUACCCGUGUAGUC
rnacentral:rRNA from 1 species